GCCGUUUCAUAAGACCUAACUUCGUAUGAAGGUAGAACCAAAAAAGGUAGAAUUACAACAGUAAUUAAGCAUCUGCAUAAUUUAAUACGUAAUACAGUUAGUUUACGUGUGCCAAUAUAGAAAGUAAUAAAUCAUUACAAAACAGUAUAGUCAAAUCAGCAAACUUGUGGUUUCAAUAAAAAUAAUUAAUUGCAUGUAAUCAACGUAAAAGCUCUGAAAUUUAAGCUACGUCAAAUUUACAAUGCGGAUCCUGAAUAUCACCGCAAGCUAAUUUCAAAUCCACAACUAUGCAAUGUUUGCAUCGAGGUUGAAUUUCGAAGGAAAAUUGCAUAAGAGUUGUUGAGCUGCCAUAAAAUCUCUUUAUGCAUAUAAUGGUUUAGAAAACGGAGGAUAGGAAUUGCUCAAAAAUAUAAAUCAAGACAACGACUUUCGGAAGGUAUUUUCAUACCAUGACACUUUGCGCCAUGGCAUAAAUUGCAAUCUGCCUGCCAUCCUAAUAAAAGCACAACCAUGCAAUAUUUAAGGUGGACCUGUUGUGUUUAUCUUCACUUUGGUGAAAGUUGGAGCGAGUGAUAAAGUGAGUGAGCCAAAUAUAAUAAUAAGCUCCACCAAAAGAGUAAGUUGAAAGUAUCAUCGCCACAUCGACGAGCGGUGAGCUUUGAGAAAUCUCUCCGAAUUCUGUCACAAUCACCAGGAAAGCAACAGCAACGAAAGUGAAUCCCACUGGGUAAACAUCCAUCCGCGGAAGCAAGUCAACAUUACUUUCAUACACUGACACUACUGCUGCAAAACUCUGCUGAAAUGCUCUCCAGUUGUGGUUUCACUGCUCUUCAUCCUUCCUUCUUCCAUGAGUUAUAAGCGUCCAAUGCAGACUAUUAUAGACAUAUGUACAUAUUACAGAUGUACACGUAUACAAUGUUUUGGAUGGAAUACGUUUUUUAGCUUCUACCACCUCACCUGAAACCAGAUCAAGGAAUUCGUGCAAGUGUCACGUCACGUCGUUCCACUUUCAAAUUGCAUUAUAUGUCACAUUACAUCUGCUGCUCAUUGCCUCGCACAGGAAAGCGUAGUACGUACUUACAUACGUAGGAAAGUAAAGUACAUAACACUUACUUUGGGGGACACAGCACCUUCAAUCACCUCAGAUCUCCAGAAGGGUCAAUACCUGUAUUGACUAGACCCUUGGCGUCACUUGUUGUCAAAGUCAAUAAAUCCUAGAAUCUGUUGGACCGAAGAGAAUAUUGGCGAAAUAAUUCCAGACUAUCUGCAUCUAGGAUAUAUGACGUAUAAGUAUUUACAGAAACCUCAGUCCCACUGAUUGACAAAUUCGGAUAUUGGUGUUGGUCAAACAUUAUCUUGUAUCACAUUCAUGGAAAUCACUGUAAAGUACAAAUGCUUCGAAGGGAAAGUCCAUAAUCGAAGCUAUUUCACAGUCUCGACCUUUCCUGAAGUAUCGCUCAACCAACACAGUCUCCAGAGAAAUUGUAUGAGCUAAGGUUAUUCUAAAGUAGCGUGAGGUUAAGCUUUCACUAAAUCUACAAACAAGUUCCACAGGAAAUCAGGUUCAUUACAUUUACAUCUUUGGGUGUGAAAUGUGUAUCAAAAUUAUAAAAUUACCAGUGGUAAUUUACCACUGAAUGAAAUUAUAUGAAGACCUGAGCAAUAAAAGCCCCAAACUCAAAAGUCGAUUUGUUGGCGUUAGUUACAAUUUUUCUUUGAAUAUUAAUUUAACUGGGUAUUAUUUAUUAUUAACAUAAACAUUGAUAAACUAUGAAAUACACUUAGUUGGCUUGGCUUUGAAUAUUAAAAACCCCAAACUCCAAAAAUGAAAAUAUUGAAAACCCCAAACUCAAAAUAAAAAUUUCCUGCUGUCGGUACUUGGUUGAGUUUAAAAAUUGGCUAUUUCUUGAGCAUUAAUUUAAUCAUGUCUGAGCAAUUUCGAAUCACAGUUAAUGAAUUGUGUCACAUUAACGACGGGAAGAAGCGAAAGAUAAACUUGGAAGACUGGCAAAAUCAAAAAAAUAAAAUGAGCAAAGAUCGAGGAGAGGAGUAUGUUGGAGGACGUGGAAUUGUCAAGCAAGCCAAGAUUCCUCCUCCCAGGUCCAAGCCUGUCCACCACGAUGCUCAAAGCCCGGGUGUAGGCUCCCUUAUCCACGACGCCAACAGAUUUUCCAAGAAUUCUGGGGAACAGGCAGUUACAACCGUCAGACGGACAUCUUGGCAGGAAUGAUUGACGUGAUCAAUGUGAACCAACGAACCACCACUCAUGCUCAAAGCAGGCGCCAGCACUCAUACACUUAUUCUUAAGCAAUGACCAAGGAUUGAAGGUUCCAGUGUGUGUUUCCACUUUUUUAUCGACCUUUGGAAUAACCCCCGAUCGACUCCGCACGGUAAAAGAAAAACUAGCUUCGGGAACUGUUGACCUGGCUGAUAAACGUGGGACGAAUACUUUACAUGAGAGAGUGGAUCCAACUCAUGCAGAUCGGAUCUUGGCGCACAUCAAUUCCUUCCCGAGGAGAUUGGCCCAUUACUCUCGAGAAGCCGGUAACCCGUUGCGAGAGUAUCUUGACCCGACCUUGACCGUGUCAAAAAUGUUCACGCUUUUCCGGAUCCAAGAAGGAGAACAUGUCAACCGCUUGGAGUGGCUGUAUCGUCAAGUGUUUCGUGAGCAACCUCUCAAAAUAGGAAUUCAAAAUAGAAUUUAAGUACAUAUUAUGUACUUAAAUUUUUGCACCUCAUGAAUGAAGGAAUGAAUACUUAACAGUUUUA